ACCAGACUCCUACGGGAGGCAGCAGUGGGGAAUAUUGGGCAAUGGGCGCAAGCCUGACCCAGCAACGCCGCGUGAAGGAAGAAGGCUUUCGGGUUGUAAACUUCUUUUAAGAGGGAAGAGAAGAAGACGGUACCUCUUGAAUAAGCCACGGCUAACUACGUGCCAGCAGCCGCGGUAAUACGUAGGUGGCAAGCGUUGUCCGGAUUUACUGGGUGUAAAGGGCGUGCAGCCGGGCUGACAAGUCAGAUGUGAAAACCCGCGGCUCAACCGCGGAACUGCAUUUGAAACUGUUGGUCUUGAGUAUCGGAGAGGCAGGCGGAAUUCCUAGUGUAGCGGUGAAAUGCGUAGAUAUUAGGAGGAACACCAGUGGCGAAGGCGGCCUGCUGGACGACAACUGACGGUGAGGCGCGAAAGCGUGGGGAGCAAACAGGAUUAGAUACCCCAGUA
rnacentral:rRNA from 1 species